rnacentral:rRNA from 1 species
UACGGAGGGGGCUAGCGUUGUUCGGAAUUACUGGGCGUAAAGCGCACGUAGGCGGCUUUGUAAGUUAGAGGUGAAAGCCCAGGGCUUAACCCUGGAAUUGCCUUUGAGACUGCAUCGCUAGAAUCGUGGAGAGGUGAGUGGAAUUCCGAGUGUAGAGGUGAAAUUCGUAGAUAUUCGGAAGAACACCAGUGGCGAAGGCGACUCACUGGACACGUAUUGACGCUGAGGUGCGAAAGCGUGGGGAGCAAACAGG